GAGUUUGAUCCUGGCUCAGGACGAACGCUGGCGGCGCGCCUAACACAUGCAAGUCGAACGAGAGAGAGGGAGCUUGCUUCCUCAAUCGAGUGGCGAACGGGUGAGUAACGCGUGAGGAACCUGCCUCAAAGAGGGGGACAACAGUUGGAAACGACUGCUAAUACCGCAUAAGCCCACGACCCGGCAUCGGGUUGAGGGAAAAGGAGCAAUCCGCUUUGAGAUGGCCUCGCGUCCGAUUAGCUAGUUGGUGAGGUAAUGGCCCACCAAGGCGACGAUCGGUAGCCGGACUGAGAGGUUGAACGGCCACAUUGGGACUGAGACACGGCCCAGACUCCUACGGGAGGCUGCAGUGGGGAAUAUUGCACAAUGGGGGAAACCCUGAUGCAGCGACGCCGCGUGGAGGAAGAAGGUUUUCGGAUUGUAAACUCCUGUCGUUAGGGACGAUAAUGACGGUACCUAACAAGAAAGCACCGGCUAACUACGUGCCAGCCGCCGCGGUAAUAC
rnacentral:rRNA from 1 species